rnacentral:rRNA from 1 species
AGCUCCAAUAGCGUAUAUUAAAGUUGUUGCAGUUAAAAAGCUCGUAGUUGGAUUUCUGGCAAGAUGCGCCUCGCCCUUGGUUUAGGCCAUGUGUGCGAGACUGCGCGUCUGCCAUCCAUUUACAGAACGUCACCUUCGUAAGUCGGUGCUCGUGAUGUAAAUCUUUUACUUUGAAAAAAUUAGAGUGUUUAAAGCAGGCAUUUGCUAUGAAUACAUUAGCAUGGAAUAAUAAUCUAGGACUUCGGUUCUAUUUUGUUGGUUUCUAGAUCUGGAGUAAUGAUUGAUAGGGAUAGUUGGGGGUGCUAGUAUUUAGGGGCCAGAGGUGAAAUUCUUGGAUUCUCUAAAGACUAACUUAUGCGAAAGCAUUCACCAAGGAUGUCUUCUUUAAUCAAGAACGAAA